GGCCUAACACAUGCAAGUCGAGCGCCCGUAGCAAUACGGGAGCGGCAGACGGGUGAGUAACACGUGGGAACGUGCCCUUUGGUUCGGAAUAACUCAGGGAAACUUGAGCUAAUACCGGAUAAGUCCGUAAGGAGAAAGAUUUAUCGCCGAAGGAGCGGCCCGCGUCCGAUUAGCUAGUUGGUGGGGUAAUGGCCCACCAAGGCUACGAUCGGUAGCUGGUCUGAGAGGAUGACCAGCCACACUGGGACUGAGACACGGCCCAGACUCCUACGGGAGGCAGCAGUGGGGAAUAUUGGACAAUGGGCGCAAGCCUGAUCCAGCCAUGCCGCGUGGGUUUGAAGGCCCUAGGGUUGUAAAGCCC
rnacentral:rRNA from 1 species